UACGGGGGAUGCAAGCGUUAUCCGGAAUCAUUGGGCGUAAAGCGCCUGUAGGUUGUUUAUUAAGUCUGUUGUUAAAGACUAGGGCUUAACCCUAGAAAAGCAAUGGAAACUAAUAGACUAGAGUAUGGCAGGGGUAGAGGGAAUUUCUAGUGUAGCGGUGAAAUGCGUAGAUAUUAGAAAGAACACCGGUGGCGAAAGCGCUCUACUGGACCAUUACUGACACUCAGAGGCGAAAGCUAGGGUAGCAAAAGGGAUUAGAUACCCCUGUAGUCCUAGCCGUAAACGAUGGAUACUAGAUGUUGUGCAUUAUGUACAGUAUCGUAGCUAACGCGUUAAGUAUCCCGCCUGGGGAGUACGGUCGCAAGACUA
rnacentral:rRNA from 1 species